UACGUAGGGGGCUAGCGUUGUCCGGAAUCAUUGGGCGUAAAGCGCGUGUAGGCGGUUCGGUAAGUCCGCUGUGAAAGUCGGGGGGCUCAACCCUCGAAUGCCGGUGGAUACUGUCGGACUAGAGUACGGAAGAGGCGAGUGGAAUUCCUGGUGUAGCGGUGAAAUGGCGCCAGGAUAAUCAGGAGGAACACCAAUUGCGAAAGGCAGCUCGGCUGGGACGUU
rnacentral:rRNA from 1 species